rnacentral:rRNA from 1 species
UGGCGACCGGCGCACGGGUGAGUAACGCGUAUCCAACCUGCCCUUUACUAUGGGACAGCCCGUCGAAAGGCGGAUUAAUACCGUAUGUUGUCAUGUUGAUGCAUAUUUUCAUGACCAAAGGCUUCGGCCGGUAAAGGAUGGGGAUGCGUCUGAUUAGCUUGCCGGCGGGGUAACGGGCCCACCGGGGCGACGAUCAGUAGGGGUUCUGAGAGGAAGGUCCCCCACCAUUGGAACUGAGACACGGUCCAAACUCCUACGGAAGGCAGCAG